rnacentral:rRNA from 1 species
UACAGAGGAGCCAAGCGUUGUCCGGAUUGACUGGGCGUAAAGCGCACGCAGGCGGACGCGCGCGUGGGGUGUGAAAUCUGGCCGCUUAACGGCCAGGCGCCAUCCCAUACGGCGCGUCUGGAGCAAUGCAGAGGUCGGUGGAAUUGCCGGUGUAGUGGUGAAAUGCGUAGAGAUCGGCAGGAACACCCAGGGGGAAACCAGCCAACUGGGCAUUUGCUGACGCUGAGGUGCGAGAGCGUGGGGAGCGAACCGG